GGGCGAGUGGCGGAAUUGGCAGACGCGCAGUCUUGAGGAGGCUGUGGGGCAACCCGUGGGAGUUCAAGUCUCCCCUCGCCCACCA
rnacentral:tRNA from 1 species